rnacentral:rRNA from 1 species
UACGUAGGGGGCAAGCGUUGUCCGGAAUCAUUGGGCGUAAAGAGCGUGUAGGCGGCCCGAUAAGUCCGCUGUGAAAGUCCAGGGCUCAACCCUGGGAUGCCGGUGGAUACUGUCGGGCUCGAGUCCGGAAGAGGAGUGUGGAAUUCCUGGUGUAGCGGUGAAAUGCGCAGAUAUCGAGAAGAACACUUAGGGCGAAAGCAAGACUCUGGACAAGUGUUGACGCUCAUGCACGAAGGCUAGGGUAGCGAACGGG